CGGAGGAAAGUAGGGGAUCGAAAGACCUUAUGCUUUUGGAGCGGCCGAUGUCUGAUUAGCUAGUUGGUAAGGUAAUGGCUUACCAAGGCAACGAUCAGUAGUUGGUCUGAGAGGACGACCAGCCACACUGGGACUGAGACACGGCCCAGACUCCUACGGGAGGCAGCAGUGGGGAAUUUUGGACAAUGGGCGCAAGCCUGAUCCAGCAAUGCCGCGUGAGUGAAGAAGGCCUUCGGGUUGUAAAGCUCUUUCAGUUGAGAAGAAAAGAUUGUGACUAAUAAUUGCAAUUCAUGACGGUAUCAACAGAAGAAGCACCGGCUAACUACGUGCCAGCAGCCGCGGUAAUACGUAGGGUGCGAGCGUUAAUCGGAAUUACUGGGCGUAAAGGGUGCGCAGGCGGUUCUGUAAGUCAGAUGUGAAAUCCCCGGGCUUAACCUGGGAACUGCGUUUGAAACUACAAAGCUAGA
rnacentral:rRNA from 1 species